AGUGAACGCUGGCGGUAGGCCUAACACAUGCAAGUCGAACGGCAGCACAGUAAGAGCUUGCUCUUACGGGUGGCGAGUGGCGGACGGGUGAGGAAUACGCCGGAAUCUACUUUUUCGUGGGGGAUAACGUAGGGAAACUUACGCUAAUACCGCAUACGACCUACGGGUGAAAGCAGGGGAUCUUCGGACCUUGCGCGAUUGAAUGAGCCGAUGUCGGAUUAGCUAGUUGGCGGGGUAAAGGCCCACCAAGGCGACGAUCCGUAGCUGGUCUGAGAGGAUGAUCAGCCACACUGGAACUGAGACACGGUCCAGACUCCUACGGGAGGCAGCAGUGGGGAAUAUUGGACAAUGGGCGCAAGCCUGAUCCAGCCAUACCGCGUGGGUGAAGAAGGCCUUCGGGUUGUAAAGCCCUUUUGUUGGGAAAGAAAAGCAGCAGGUUAAUACCCCGCUGUUCUGACGGUACCCAAAGAAUAAGCACCGGCUAACUUCGUG
rnacentral:rRNA from 1 species